UCGAGUGCUCCCACUCCAACAGAUGCCCGAAAAAGGCCUCAAGUACAAAUGUUGACAAAACCCCUGAAAAAACUGCAUGUCUGCAUGAAAACGGUGUUGAAACCGAUUGGCAGUCCUCCCCCUCUCCCCUCCUCGGCUCCCCGGCUCUCAGGUUGGUUGAUGACAGACCCCGCCGAUGCCUCUUCGUCAAUCAAUCGUCUUCAUUGAUCCAUUAAUUGCAUACCUCGGCAAAGACAUUUAUAGUCAACAGUCAACUUUAAAACCUCAAAUAUCUGAAUGUUUGUAUAAAAUGAUGCUUGUUAUGAUGCUUA